UCAGGGACAGGGCAGGAUUCCAGCUUCAGCCUGUCUACCUCUGAAGCUCUCCUGAUCAAUACAUCAGAGAAGAUGAUGGAGCCCUCCUGCCGCUCUUGGGGAGAGUCGCGUCGCUGCUGUCAUCGAUGCCGUGCUGGACCUCGCAGCGAUAGAUGCCUGAGUCGUUGGGGCGCAGCUCGCUCAGCGCCAGGGAGACAUCGGUGAGCGACGCUGGGUACGCAGGUAGUGCCACGCGGAACCGGUAGGCCUCAUUCACCUUGACGCGAACUCCCCGCGCCACCAGCACCUCUGCCUCCCGGCCCCCGGACAGGAAAGUCCACUUGACCCGCGGAGAUCCCAGCACUGCCCGGCGGCUCGGCGGCGGCCGCAGGUAAUGGACGUGGCAGGGGAUGGUGAGGGCGCCACCAAGCACACCCUGCAGUGGCGCGUGACCGGAGAUGCGCACGCGAAAGGCGCGGUCCUCUGUGAACGGGUGGAGCCGGCUAGAACUUAACGCUGUAGACCCUCAGAGUCCCACCCGGUGGGCUGCAAGCCCCGAUCCAGGAUCCCUCCUUCCAGCCCCAGGAUUCCCCGGCCCCUCUAGAACCAGGGGCCAGGGUCCUGCAACCCUACCUCUGGGUCCUCCAGGACCAUCACGGUCUCCAAACCCAUCCCCCAAAGUCUCCCAGUCAAUUCUGCCCCCGGAUUCCUUGCCCUGCUCUCAGAGUGUUCCACUUCCUCUCCAAAAUUCCUAGACCACACCCCAGGGUCCUCCAACCUCACCCCCUGAGUCCUCCAGCCCAGUUUCCCGGUCUGCUCCCUUUAAGGCCUCCUUCAGGGUUUCUCCCAGUCCCACCCCUUUCCCACCUGCUAGCUCCAGGAUCCCCUAUCCUCCACCUUAGGGACCCAAAGCCUUGCACCCAGUGCCCCUCGCUAGUCCUGCCCCAUGAUUUCUCCAAUCUACCAGAUGCUCACAGCUCAGCCUUUAUUUCCAAGUGUUCCAGCCUGGACUCUUCCCCACAACCCUCCCAAUACUCUCUCUUUCUGGGGCCCCUAAGCCUGGAAGCAGUUGGUUAGGACUGAACAAGACAGAGAUGGUGACCCCAAGUGGGGUUACUUACCUGAGCUGUCUCCUUCCAGAACAUCUGCUAAAGCUGCAGGAGCCUGGGCCAGGACCAGGGCUGCCAGCAGGGGCAGGAGUAGCUGGGCCAUGCUGCAGGCUGACAGAAGGACAUGAGAAAGAAAGAUGGGGUUAGACUUCAAGAUGGACUUCCCCCGGCUCCCUACUACACCCAUGUGGGUUCACACAUAUCCUGGCUCCAGAAGUCCCCGACCUUCACAUCACCAGGGACUCUCUGUUUCUGAUCCCCAUCUUCCCACCAAGGGAUUCCUUCUCAGAACCAAGACCUGAGUCCUAGUCAACUCACUGUGUGACCUAAGCCAGCUCCUUACCUUCUCUGGGCCUUCAUUUUCUUAUUUAUAAAAGAGCAUCAUCAUUACUACCUCA